rnacentral:lncRNA from 1 species
AUGACCUCCACCCCACCCCCCGACCCCCAGCGUAGGCUCGCACACAUUUUUGCAGGCAGUUCAGCGUGUCCUUGGCCAGGCGGCUUUGCUGCCAGGGAGGAGCUCCCCACCCCCCUUCUCUGGACUUUGCACCUGUCACGAGAAACUCACUGGCACAUCAGGGCUGGGAGCCCGAGCACACGCCUGCUGAAGUGCCUGCCCGCCCCUUCUAGGGCCCGCUGCACCCCUCUCAGAUCCCAGCACCGCCCCCCGCGCCCCCUCCCACGCCACUGGCUUCCCACCCUCCGCCCUGGGGGUGGGGGUGGGACCUGCGCCCAGAGGGUCCCCGCCACAGCUCGGGAAGGAGUGUACUCCCGAGCCCUCCCGCUUGGAGGCGUUGCCGGCCGCCCCGCCCUCCGCCCGCACCUGCGGGUUCGGCCCCGCCCGCCGGCGGCGUCCCCAGGUGAGUCAGUGGCCCGCCCACCUGUCCAGGUCCUGCCCGCUCCAGCCGGAAGCGUCCUCCCUGGACUGUGCACAGUUCCUACAGGUGCUUUUCUAGCCUGGAUGCUCCUCCCCAGGUACUCCUCUGAUUCAGGUGCUCCACCUGCAGAUAAUCUCCAGGCCUAGCUGCUCCUCUAACAGGUGAUCCACAGUUGGCUCCUCCCUGAAGACUGCCUCCCUCUUGAGGGCAGACAGAGGUCAAUGGACAAGGGAUGUGUCUGAGGAGCUGCGGGUCAAGGUGGGGAAGCAGGAGC